rnacentral:rRNA from 1 species
UACGUAGGGCGCAAGCGUUGUCCGGAAUUAUUGGGCGUAAAGAGCUCGUAGGUGGCUUGUCGCGUCUGCCGUGAAAGCCCCAUGGCUUAACUGUGGGUCUGCGGUGGAUACGGGCUGGCUAGAGUGUGGUAGGGGAGAUCGGAAUUCCUGGUGUAGCGGUGAAAUGCGCAGAUAUCGGGAGGAACACCAACGGCGAAGGCAGCUCUCUGGGACGUUACUGACGCUGAGACGCGAAAGCGUGGGGAGCAAACAGG